GCUUGAGAGAGGCAGUUUGUUUUUGGUGCUAAUGCUGUUUUCUCCAAUGCCCCAUUUCCAUUUUUUCUUCUGCCUCAGAUUUCAACACUUCCAUGUAACUAGCUAAUCUGAUAUAUCCACACCUGUUUAUGUGUUAAUAGAAAAAGUCUAGAAAAGCCCAUUUUUGGGCUCUCUCUGUCUUUCUAGGUCCUAGGUGUCAAAGGAUAUUUCAACAGUGUUUGUAUGCCAUGGCGCCAUUUUCUUCACUUCUGUGAUCGAAGAGAGAAGUGAUGCCAAAUGAGAACUUCAGUUCAAAAAGAAAGAAAGGUUGCAGCAAGCACAAUCAAGAACAUCAAAGGAGAGAGAGACCUGUAUCGCUCAGCGGAUACCAUCAUCCAGGACAGAAAAGAGUAUCUUCUGCCUUUCCACCCAUCUACUUCUUCAAGCUAUAAAAACUGCAGUGGGGGAGCCAGUCCACUGAACUCGUAUAAGCAAUCAUUUAUUUAUCCACUAAAAGCAGAAUAUGGCAGGGGGAAUUUGGGAGGAGUGAAAUGAGUGUUGUCAGACUAACUUGACAAAUGGGAUGCAAUUGUUCUCCACAAGGUUGGAGCCAAGGGGUCUUCCCUUUUCCCCUCCCCUUAAUCCCCACUGCUUCUACUCAGCCUGAGCACAGAGAAGGUGGUUAACAGAGGAAAGCCCUGUGAAUAAGCCAUGACAGCCGUACAUUCAGAAACUGAUGUCAUUUCCCUAAAUACUGUUUGUAAAAUGGUAAUUAUCUGCCAAGCAAUGACAGCUGGCACUUAGCAUAGAGACACAGAGAGACAGAAAAAGAGAGAAUGAGAAUAAAGGGUCCCUGCGUAAUUUACCAAAGGGCUGAAAGAGAGAAGGAAACAUAAUCAGAAAAAUAAAAUGAUUACCAGUGUGUGAUGGGGUGAAAAUUGCUUUGGGCAUUUUCUCUUCAGAGAACACAAGAUUGAAUUGGAAGAAUGAAGCUACAGCUUCAUGAUAUACACUGAAAGAGAGGAGGUUGUUUUGAGGCUAUGUUAGAAAGGAAAAAUGCAUCAAGGGUCCUGGGCUGUGACAAAAUAGCACAUAAGCCUUGUGUACACCCAGCCUCCCACACAGGGACUAGUCUGUCCACCAUUACUGGAUGCUCUAUCUAAGAUUAUCACCUGCAUUUCACUUGGGCCUGAGGAAUAAUGUAGUUGCCUUCUGCCUCCUUCCCUGUUACUUACUGUCAUGGGAAGGUUUUGGGUCAACCUCGCUAUGCUCUCAUUCUUGAUUAUUUAAUUGAACAGUACUCCAGGUGUUGCUGUGCAGGUGUUUUAUAGAUAUGACCAAUAUCUGCAAUCAGUUGGUUUUAUUCAGAAGAGAUUAUCUUGGAUAGUCUGGAUGAGCCACACUCAUUCAGUCCAAGGCCUUAAGAAUGCAAGUGAGGUUUCCCUGGGGAAGAAGGAAUUCAUCGUAGACUACAGCAUCAGCUCAUGACCUCAAGUUUCCAAACUGCCCUUCCUGGUGGCCUGCCCUAUGAAUUUCAGACUUGCAGAUAGUUCUUAUAAUGGUAGUACCAUUCCUUACAAUCAAUCAAUCUUUCCCUUCCCUUUUAAUCUGUGUGUGUACACACAUACACACACACACACUCUACUUGUUCUGGCUUCUCUGGAGGAACCUUGUUACACUUAUCAAGUACAUGUGCGAUGAUUUGCUUAGCUAAGCGGAUACACAACAGGUUGAAUUCAUGAUAAAUUAUUACCCCUGUCCCAAAUUCAUAUAUUGACUUCCUAACCCUCGGUACCUAAAAACGUGACCUCAUUUGGAAAUAGCGUCAUUAUAAAUAUACUUUUUUUUUUUUUUAAGAUGAGGCCCAUUAGGGUGGGCCCUUAACCAAUAUGUCUCUUGUCCUUAUAAAAAUGGGAAGUUUGGACACAGACAUGCACACAAGGAGAAUGUUAAGUAAAGAUGAAGGCAGAGAUCACAGUGAUGCUGUUAUGAGCCAAGGAAUGCCACAGACUGCCAGCAAACCACAAGAAGGAAGCUACAGAAAAGCUUGAAACAGAAGAAUGGACUAAAAGCUCUGGAUGUUUCACAAAGAACUGAAUACAGGUGGAUAAAGUGGAAGCAGGGUGACCAGCAAACAGUCCAGGUGACUGCAGAUAGUCAAGCCAGGAAGUGAUCCGUUUUCUACCUGGCUUUUAAUUCUUUCCCUUCCCUCUCCCCUUUAAAGAUUCUUAUCGUUUCUUCA